ACUAUACUCGCUCCGUCCGAAAAUACUUGUCACAAGAAUGAAUGCAUCUAGAUGUAUUUUAUUUUAAGAUACAUCCUACUUUAUAAAUUUUUGCGACAAAUAAUUUCGGACGGAAAAAGUAUUUA
rfam:Hordeum vulgare subsp. vulgare, WGS project CAJW01000000 data, contig: morex_contig_1560593